rnacentral:lncRNA from 1 species
CUUAGCCACCUGCCCUAUUUCCCAGUGACAGUGCCAGGGAAGCACUCCCACCAAGCCCUCUGGGGAGGGCUCCCAAGAACGGGUGCAGCCUUGCUAGCCCUUCCAUGUCCAGCAGCUUCUGAACUGGUAUGCAAUUAGCCCUGCCCAAGUGGGAGCAGAAUAGAGACAGAUGUCUGUCCAGGAUCUGGGGCAUGUGACUUUACAUGUGGCCAGAUCCCAUCUGCUGGGACUCUCUCCCCCAAACACCUGUCUUUACUCUUGAAAAAAAAAAAAAAGUGUGUGUGUGUAGGAUAGCAGGGUAUGCCGUACCACAGCAUACAUGUAGAAAUCAUGGUAUAACUCUGUGGAUUGUCUGUCUCCCUCCAUCUUCCAGGCUUGUGAGGCCAGAGCUUUAUCUGCUGAGCCUUCUCCGCAGUUCACGUAUGACCCUCCAGAACUUGUUUGGAAUGAGGGCGUAAGGAAGGAGAAGGGCAAAGAGCAAGGCUUUUUUGUUUGUUUGGUUGGUUGGUUGGUUGGUAAUGUUGUUUUGUUUUGUUUUGUUUGAUGCAAGAUCCACGUUUUUGUUGUUGUUUCGGGUUUUUUUGGUUUGGUUUGGUGCAUAUAUCCAAGACUGCCAGCUGGCCUCUAACUCCAGCACAGCACAUUGACCGUGAACUUCUGCUCCUCUUGCCUUGGCCUCCUAAGAGCUGAAACCACGUGUGUGUGCCUGGUUUUACACCGUGCUGGGGACCGAACCCAGUGCUCCCAGUGAGUGAAGAGCAGAGCAUUUGACCAGCUGAGCCAUGUUCCCAGCCCACACUGGUUAACAGGAAGGCAGCACUUAACACCGUGGUGUGAAAGGAUCCUGUGAAAGGAUCCGAGAGACUCACCACCCACGCAUAUUUCAAAACAAGCAAAGGACGGCAGCAGCAUCUCCUCGUGUAACCGGGCCUGGCCUCAGUCCUCUCCACUGUCCUGUCUCAGCCUCCCAAGUGCUGGGAUCACAGACAGCUGCCACUGCUCUCAGCCCUAACCUGACUAUGGCCUUGGCUGGUCCUUCUCCCAAGCGUCAAUCAGCACCGGAACUGUGGAAAGCCAACCCUGCAGGGCAAUGGUGGCCUCUCAAUAUUGAAUCCAGGGUCAGUCACAGAUCCCAGCAGGGAAGAGACCCAACAGCUCUUAGAAUGAGGGUUUAAAAACUGGUUUGGUUCCUGUGGGAUGGAAGAAAUUAUCACAGUGGUGUCCCAGACUUGGUUUUGGUAAUGCCUGUCUCCCCAUCCAGGACCCUGGGGGCCUGGGAAGUGGGAGGCAGUACAGGCAGGAGGGGCUUAUUGGUUAAUGGCUCCUCCAACUGUAGAAAAGGAUACAAGGGGGUGACCCUGGGGGCACCCAGCAAGGUGGCAUCCAGAGGCCCAGAAACCCUGACAUAAGGCCAAACAUCUCAAACCACACCCAACCCUGUAGGGCAGGAGGUAGCUUCUCAUUAUUGAGUCCAGAGUGGGUAACUGAUCCCAGCUGAGAAGAGACCCAACAGCUCAUCAAAUGAGAGAAAUAGAAACUGUUUAUGUACCAACAAUAAGGAACCUUUCCCUUCCCAGCCAGUGCUGGGCUACCCCUCUGAUGAGUCAUGUCCCCUUAGCCUCACUGAGGAAGGGGCUAAAGCCGGGCCACCUCAGCACUGUGCUGAGAAAAUGCUGUGGAAAUUCACCGAGCCUCGCCAUCCCGGAAGGCAUUCUGGAAACCGUGAAGGGCUGUCUGUGGGGAAAUGAUUUAAAUAAACAGCAGAUUCAUGCCUUCAAGAAAGUUAGUUGGUCCUGAGAACAGGGACAGCACCCAACUCUAGGGAGAUCCCAAGCUUGUUAUACUGCCCAGACACAGGGCUGCCUCUGUCCUGUGUGCCCUCUCCCAACUGAGGACAUAGGUUCCCUCAGGGCCUUUCUUUUCUUGGUUCCUCAAUCUCCUGGCCCCUGCCCCACUUCCUGAAUCCUGGAGGCAAGAGAAGACAGAGAGAAAAGCGACCCUUAUGGUUGUCCACCUUCAGGCUGGGUCCACAGAGAGCCAGUGCCCCGCCAGCCUAUCUGAGCCUUCCUUGUAAUGCCUUUUGCUGAGAGGUUUGUUUUGGGGGAACAGCAGCACUAAUGCUUGGGCCUGGAGAGGCCUGGGACCGGGAAGACAUCCCUCCUGAGCUGUCAGCCACCUGCUCCUGAAAGAAGUUUUUUUCAAGAUCCACUUCCUCACACAUACGUAGAGAAGCUCACCCCAUGUGUUAGUCAGGGUCCUCUAGGGUCACAGAACUUACCGAAUGUCUCUAUAUAUUAAGGGAAUUUAUUGUGGUGACUUACAGUCUGUAGUCCAACUAAGCCAACCAUGUGCAGCUGUGGAUGAGAAAUGUUAGCAUUUCUUCUAGGCUCCGCCCCACAGUUACCUGGCAACAGCCAGGUGUGCUUAAGCUCAUCUUUAAAAAUUAUCAUGCCGUUAACAAAUGUAUCUCUUUUGUAAACUUAUAAGCUACAGGAAACCCACUCAGAUCUACCUCUCGUGGACCAAAUAAACUCCAUCCAGAUAAGUACACCUGCCAGUCAAUGGCCUACCUAUCCCAGACGGUGAGCUUCCUCUCUUGUGCCCUGGGAUUGGGACUCCCCUCACCCCCAACCACCAAGGCCUAAGGGUUUCAAAUGUACUUUCAAAUAUGCCUAAGAAACUUUUUUUCUCCCAAACAUACUUAACUUUAUUCUCUACCUCUAAUAUAAAUGUGUGUGUUUCAGCAUCUUGUCAAGUCCAGUUGUUUAUUCAAAAUCUACAUCCAGGACAGCUCCAGAGAAGCAACUCACAGAUGUUCAAUCUGCUCUCACAGACACAGCGGCUUCUACUGGACCUGCUCCUUCCUACCCACGGAUGGUUCCACAGACCCUGACAGCAAGGAAACAGCUGACUCUCCUAAGGCUAGACCAACAUCCCAUCCACAUCUUCUUAGGCUCCCCAGACACCCCAAAGUCAGCAGGAAGCAGCUAAAGAUCAUGAAGGCCCUAUUCCUGCUUCACCAUCGCCCUGUCUAGUUUUUCCUUUUUUUUAAUUAAACCAAAAUGAAGGAAUGUUAGCAUUCCUUCUAGGGUCCACCCCACAGUUACCUGGCAACAGUUAGGUAUACCUGACUCACUAUAAAAGGGGCUGUUUGCCCCCUCCUUGUUCUCUUACUCUCUUACUUUCCUACUCUCUCUCUCUCUCUCACUCUCUCUGCCUUUCUCUCUCUCUACUCCCUCCUCAAUUCCCCUCCCCAUGCCCUAAAUAAAUUCUAUUCCAUACUAUAUCCAUGUAUGGCUGGUACCUCAGGGGGAAGGGAUGUCUCAGCAUGGGCCCGAAGAGGCACCCCUUCCACCUCACCAUACCACGCCUCUAUGAAACAUAUUCUGGUUCUUUCAUUUUAUAACAACAGGAAGUCCAAGAAUCUAGUAGUUGCUCAGGCCCACGAGGCUACUUGUUUCAGCUGGUCUUCUAUGGAAGUAGUUCCCAACAGAUGUGCUGGCAAGUAAGAGCAAGCAGUCAAAGAAGAGUGAAUCUUCCUUCUUCCAGUGUCCUUCUGUAGGUCUCCAGCAGAAUGUACGGCCCAGAUUAAAGGUGUGUGCCACCAAGCCUGUAUCUAAAACUUGCUUUGUCCCAGGCUGACCUUGAACUCAGUGAUCUCCUUGCCUCAGUCCCCUGGGAUUAAAUUCGUGUGCGACCUUGGCUGGGCUUAAGCUUUUCAUGGCCACUAGGCCUCAAGAUCUCCAUGCCCAGAUCCAGGUCAGAACCUUGUAUCUUCCAGCCUUAAGAUCUGGAUCACAGGUGUGCCCUCCAAUUCUGAACUGUAGUUCAUUUUAGAUAUAGAAUGACAAUAACAACCAGGAAUAGCUAUUACAUCCCAUCAGGAGGCUAGACAGAAGACAGACUGCACCUGGAUAGGCCUAGCUGGUCAGCCAGCCUGAUUUGCUCCAUCCUGCCCCACACCUUAGGAAGCUAAUUCAUUAGGUCAGAGAAAUCUGUAGGACCCAGGAAUAUAUGGAGGAUGGAUUGUGGGAAGGGAGCUGUCUACUCUGUCCUGAGUCCCAUUCCUUUCUGCUGCCUGCAAUAAAUCUAUCCUCUCUCUCUUCUCCUCCC